CUACGGGCUGCACCAGGCGAGAAAACUUUGCAAUGUGCGAAAGCACGACAAGGUUAAUCCGAGUGGUUUGUGCUAAACGAACCUUUUGACAGUCCUAGAAACACUGUUGAAUAAGGGGUGGGCAAGUUCUGGUGUCAGCCGCCGCGGUAAAACCAGCACCUCAAGUGGUCAGGAUGAUUAUUGGGCCUAAAGCAUCCGUAGCCGGCUCUGUAAGUUUUCGGUUAAAUCUGUACGCUCAACGUACAGGCUGCCGGGAAUACUGCAGAGCUAGGGAGUGGGAGAGGUAGACGGUACUCGGUAGGAAGGGGUAAAAUCCUUUGAUCUAUUGAGGACCACCUGUGGCGAAGGCGGUCUAACAGAACACGUCCGACGGUGAGGGAUGAAAGCUGGGGGAGCAAACCGGAUUAGUACCCUAGUAGUC
rnacentral:rRNA from 1 species